UGGGGAAUAUUGGACAAUGGGCGAAAGCCUGAUCCAGCCAUGCCGCGUGUGUGAAGAAGGCCUUUUGGUUGUAAAGCACUUUAAGCGAGGAGGAGGCUACUUGGAUUAAUACUCUAGGAUAGUGGACGUUACUCGCAGAAUAAGCACCGGCUAACUCUGUGCCAGCAGCCGCGGUAAUACAGAGGGUGCGAGCGUUAAUCGGAUUUACUGGGCGUAAAGCGUGCGUAGGCGGCUUCUUAAGUCGGAUGUGCAAUCCCUGAGCUUAACUUAGGAAUUGCAUUCGAUACUGAGAAGCUAGAGUAUGGGAGAGGAUAGUAGAAUUCCAGGUGUAGCGGUGAAAUGCGUAGAGAUCUGGAGGAAUACCGAUGGCGAAGGCAGCCAUCUGGCCUAAUACUGACGCUGAGGUACGAAAGCAUGGGGAGCAAACAGG
rnacentral:rRNA from 1 species